UACGUAGGUGGCGAGCGUUGUCCGGAUUUACUGGGCGUAAAGGGUGCGUAGGCGGGUCUUUAAGUCAGGGGUGAAAUCCUGGAGCUCAACUCCAGAACUGCCUUUGAUACUGAGGAUCUUGAGUUCGGGAGAGGUGAGUGGAACUGCGAGUGUAGAGGUGAAAUUCGUAGAUAUUCGCAAGAACACCAGUGGCGAAGGCGGCUCACUGGCCCGAUACUGACGCUGAGGCACGAAAGCGUGGGGAGCAAACAGG
rnacentral:rRNA from 1 species